AUGAGAAAUACAGUAGAGUCUCACUUAUCCAACACUCGCUUAUCCAACGUUCUGAAUUAUCCAACACAUUUUUGUCACCUCCAAGGUCAUGUGGCCGGCAUGACUACAUGGAGUGCCAUUACCUUCCCAGAAACACCCAGAAAAUGGGAAUUCCAGACAGGAAACAAUCAGGGCCAGCUAAUACCUCCCAACAAAGGAUUCCCCCAGGUAGGAAGCAGCCAGGCUUUGAAGCUGCAAGGCUAUUCAAUGCUAAUCAAGGUGACCAAUUGCAACAUUCACACUUGCCUCCCACAGACAAGAGUUCUUUCUCCCACCCUGGACCUUCCACAGAUAUAUAAACCCCACUUGCCUAGCUUCGCACAGACGUCAAAACCUCUAUGUCUGCCACAGAUGUGGGUGAAACGUCAGGAGAGAAUGCUUCUGGCACAUGGCCAUAGAGCCCGGAAUACAUACCACAACAGUGUGAUCCCGGCCAUGAAAGCUUUCGACAACACAACCACAGUAUCCAUUCAAGUUCAUGUAGCGUGGUAUGGACUGGAGACCUGUAUUGGGGGGAGGGAGGGUGCGAAUCUGGGCCCCUGGGAGCAGCCGAGGACGGGCCUGGCCCACACCCCCUCGCAUCCCGGGCCUCUUCCUUCCUCUUCCUUUUGUUAUUUAAACUAUAUAUUGUGAAAUUAUGGUGUGUUUUUUUUCAUGCGUGUUCUGUGUUCAAGAUAGGGAGACCAAAGAGGAAAAGCAAGGGAGGGACGGAGGCCCCAACACUUCCGGCUCCCAUGCGAACUCCCCCCUUGUGUGCCUUGGAGGGUGGAGCAUGCGCACUGGCUCUCCCUUUCUCUAUGGCUCUUUUCAGGUCGCUUGGGAACCCGAAGUGCCUCCUCCCUUUGCCUUUGUGUCCAAGAAGGAGAGAAGGACGUUGCAAGGUUUGCAUUGAGGGUGUUUCUCUGGUGGGUUUGGCUUGGAAGGGGGCUCAUUAAGGCCCAAUUAAUUAAUGCACUGAGCCGAGGCGAGGCGGCGGCGGCGGCGGCCAUUUCCCCCCUCCGUCUUCCUCCUCCUCCUCGGCCUCCUUCCCCCUCGCCCCCUCCCAUUGGCUGAGCCUCCCAUUGGCUGAGGGGCAAAAGGAAAGGAGUUUGGGUGCUUUGCAAAAGCUCUUUUUUCUUAACGAAAAAAACGAAGAAAUUAGAAAAAACGGCCUCUCGCGAUUCGAAACCGCGAUAUCCAGACGUGUGGACAACCAAGGUUCGAUAUUGCUUCAAAACAAUAGAAAAUAACGAAUCAAUAACGGUAAACGGGGAAAACGAAUUAUUUGAGCAAGCCUAAUAAGCACACAUACACCGUCACCCAGCUGUUUUAAAUUGAGUCAUCUUCUCUUUCUGCUUGGCCAACAUACUCGGUUGAUUUAACAGUGAUACAUAAGUUCACCUAAUCUCCCAAGUUCUUUGCAAACAAAUCAAAUAUCAAAAAUUCAAAUAGAUAUUCUUUGUCUUACCAUAUAAGCUGAAUGGGAACACUUUUUUCUCUUUCACUUUUUCAGAGCAUCUAUACUAGGUGGUCCUAAAUCUUAUAGUAACCUAUGGAUGUGAGAGCUGGAUCAUAAGGAAGGCUGAGUGAAGGAAGAUAGAUGCUUUUGAACUUUGGUGCUGGAGGAAAAUGCUGAGAGUGCCUUGGGUCGCAAGAAGAUCCAACCAGUCCAUCCUCCAGGAAAUAAUGCCCGGCUGCUCACUGGAGGGAAGGAUAUUAGAGGAAAAGCUGAAGUAUUUUGGCCACAUCAUGAGAAGACAGGAAAGCUUGGAAAAGAUCAUGAUGCUGGGGAAAAUGGAAGGAAAAAGGAAGAGAGGCCGACCAAGGGCGAGAUGGAUGGAUGGUAUCCUUGAAGUAACUGGCUUGACCUUGAAGGAACUGGGGGCAGCAACAGCCGACAGGGAGCUCUGGCAUGGAUUGGUCCAUGAGGCCAUAAAGAGUCGGAAAUGACUGAAUGAAUAAAGAAGAAGAAAGCUUAUUUAAAGCUAUUUUGAACAUAUUUCACUAGGAGCUGCAGUGGCGCAAUGGAUUAAACCCUUGUUUCGGCUGAACUGCUGACCUAAAGGUUGGCAAUUCAAAUCCAUGAGACGGAGUGAGCUCUCAUCUGUCAGCUCUAGCUCACUUGCAGGGAAAGAAGAGAAGCCUCCCAGCACAUCUGGGCAUCCCCUGGGCAACGUUUCUGUAGAUGGCCGAUUCUCUCACACCAGAAGCAGCUUGCAGUAUGUUUGCUUCUGACACGAUUAAAAAACAUAUUCCACUAAGCUGUGUGUGUGUAUUCUUCUACAUAUACACACAUAGGUAUUUAUCUGGGAGAAAUAUGUAUAUAGAUAUGUAUACCUCUUAUGUUUCCAUUGAGAUGCUACACUAAUAAGGUUAUUUUGUAAGCACAAAAGUUUUUGUUUUCAGAUCCUGCAUUACAACUCGACUCUUUCAUUUUCAAAAUUAUGAACAGUAAUGUCAUGUUAUUAAAAAUAUCUAAUCUUGACGGUAUUAGGGUAUGCAAAACAGAAAGGAAAUCACCAAAGGCUUUCAGCUCUAGGUCAAAGGAGCGUUGUUUGUCUCUUAUUAGCAUGACGAAGUGAAGUCUGCAAUUAUAUUAGAAGUCUGGUUAAGGCAUAAUUAGUAGGGAGCCUGUGCAUUUGCAACUACCAUAGUUCUCACAGAGCAGCACAUUCAAACUGCAGUCUCAUAGAGAAAAUGUUCCCUUUAGUAUGGAUUUCUGUCUCCCAAGAAAGACAAAAUAAGAUGGAAGCUUGUUGUGCUCGCAUUUGUUUCUAAAACUUUUUGAAACUCUUCUACUUUAAUUGCAAUUAGAUCCAUAGCAUUUUUACAAUACUGGUCUCAACAUGUGUGGUAGUUUUUUUAUUUGUUGGAGAUGGGAAGACCUCUUGAAGGUAGGCAUGGUGGAAGGAUGAAUGGGGGGAAUUUGUAUGUGUCUCAUGAUAUAUGAUGUUAGGAUUUAAAACCUGCAGUAUGUGAGAACAUUAAGCUGAAAUGUGGCUGGUGUCAUUGUUAUAGGAUUCUGCUCUCCAAAUGAAAUCAUGUUCCCCAAACUUCUCAGACCUCUAGCAUUAUAGUAACUUCAGUUGAGCAUUUAGAAAUAUCAUAAAGGCCCCUUCUACACUGCCAUAUAAAAUCCAGAUUAUCUGCUUUGAUUAUAUGGCAGUGUAGACUCCUAUAAUUCAGUUCAGAGCAGACAAUGCAUCUUAUCUGCUUUGAUGAUCUGGAUUAUAUGGCAGUAUAGAAAGGGCCAUAGACAUCCAAAGUAAACAGUGGGCAAAGUUAUCAAGGGAAAGCAGAAUAAUUCUAGGUUUGAAGAAUUUUAGUAAGACCAUGGAAACCAUACGAGCAGUUUCAUUUGCCCAUCUGUGGUUUCAGGGGGAAAUUAUCUUUCUAGGAAUUUGUUAGGUCCUUCAGGCAAUUAUAUGGUUUGCAUCCCCCAGAGAUUACCAUCAAGCCACCCAGGACAACUCCAUAAUAUGCUGAUGUGAGAAGUUAGCUACUUUCAUGAUGUUUGGUCAUCUCCUCGAUUUCAGGUAACUGUGAUGCAACCAGGAAAAUACUUCCUGUGGCUAUAUAGGUCUUACUGUAUAUCACUCUCUGCAAAGCUAGACAUUUGGGGCCGGGCUGUGGCACAGGCUGUUGAGCAGCUGCAAUAAAUCACUCUGACCAUGAGGUCAUGAGUUCGAGGCCAGCCCGUGGCGGGGUGAGCACCCGUCAAUUAAAAAUAAAAAAAAUAGCCCCUGCUCGUUGCUGACCUAGCAACCCGAAAGAUAGUUGCAUCUAUCAAGUAGGAAAUAAGGUACCACUUAUAAAAGUGGGGAGGCAAGUUUAACUAAUUUACGACCUGGAAUGAGGAAGUGCCGUCAAAGUGGAUGAUGAAGCAGCUGCUCCCCCUGUGGCCAGAAUCGAACAUCCCCUCAGAAGAAGGUUAAAUUGCCUCUGCGUCUGUCUGUCUCAGUCUCUGUUUGAUGUGUUUAUGGGCAUUGAAUGUUUGCCCUAUGUGUGUAUAAUGUGAUCCACCCUGAGUCCCCUUCGGGGUGAAAAGGGCAGAAUAUAAAUACUGUAAAUAAAUAAAUAAAUAAAUAAAUAAAUAAAUAAAAUUGAGAGCUGAAAUUUAUUUGGGGAGCAGAAUUCUCAUUUGCAGGGAAAAUGCCCUGCUUUUGCUUCCCACCCCCCAACUUCAUAUCUGGAUUCUGCCUUUGACUACUCAGCUCUGAUCUGGAGAUUAUGGGAAAAGAAAUCAUGACAGUAAGGGAGCCUCUUUGUGCCAGUAGAACAGAGGAGUUCCCUUGACUCAGGAACCCAAGUGCCUUGGGUUGGUUUUGAAAUAGCAACUUGUAAGCCUGUCUAUGUACUGUGUACAUGUUUUCAGAAGCAGCUACACAAAAGUAGCAAGUAAGUCACAAACAUAAUGUGUAAACUGAACCUCAGUGUGCAUUUUUUAUUUGUUCCAGUUGUAUUGGUUCAUCUUAAGCUCCGCAUCCUGCCCCACCUUUACUCAGACACAGUCAUUAAUCUCCAACUUCUUUGCACUGAAAUUGACCCCUCCGACUGGAACAGGGACAUGGGAACACACUGCGAGUUCAAACAGAUGAGGUUCUGCAUAAUAAGUACAUGGACUUUCUCUCGUCUCUUUUCCUUAAUUCUUUUGCCUGGGAGCUUCCACUCUGAGAAGAUGGAAAUUUCACGGAGUGAUGGAUAACAUACCUUAGCCUCUUAGUGUUUCCACCCUCUGAGGAAGAAGCAAGAAUGAAACCCUUUGCCUACUAAAUUCAAAUCAAUGCUAUUUCACAGCCUCCCAAAGCCCAGCUUCCGAUGCUGAGAUCCCAAUCUAAACCCUUCUGUAUUUUUAUUCUGAAAUACAAAGCCCAACAAUGUUCACUGGGUAGAGAAUUAGAAAACAGUGACUAACAGUGUGAAAAUAAUUCUUGUUCUGAAAUUUCAUCUCUGGAAAACCAUCUUCAUUGUCUUCAUUGGGACAAGCAGAAUAUCUCUCCUCCCAAUAUUGUUUCUUCCAUCACGGGAGAGAAAAUCUUCCAUCUCAAUGGCACUUUGGAAUGAGACUUUUAUAUUUAUACUCAAGUGCUCUACAGCUCCUCCUCCAGGAAGAUGGAACUGACCAAUCAGCAGGAUAGAUAUAUUUAGGGGAGGAGCCUGUGCAAAGUACCAGGACCUGACGUCCUAGAAGGCAGUCUAGACCCAACUAUAUAGCACAUAUUCCUGUCUUUCACAGUAAUAUCAUUAUUUUGUCAAUUUUCAGCCACUAAACUCUAAGUAAGCCAAAAACCUGAUAAUUACAUAGUCAUAACAAAAGAUCACAACAAUAAUUCUCAACAAAUAUAAGUCAUAUUCAAUGCACUCAACACAUCUGAACAAUGCCUUGUGAUUUUCUGCUACUAACUGAGCAUUCCUAUGAUGCUAAAUGGCUCCGCCCCAGUUUACCUGUCCAAAUGCAUCUCCCUAUACAAACCACUACGAAGACUAAGAUCCGCUGGGAGGCCUUGCUUUCAGUCCUGCCACCAUCACAGGCAUGUUUGGCAGGGACAAGAGACAGGGCCUUCUCAGUGAUUGCCUCCCAGC
rnacentral:lncRNA from 1 species